rnacentral:rRNA from 1 species
UACGUAGGGUGCGAGCGUUAAUCGGAAUUACUGGGCGUAAAGCGUGCGCAGGCGGUUUUGUAAGCCAGAUGUGAAAUCCCCGGGCUUAACCUGGGAAUGGCAUUUGGGACUGCAAGGCUCGAGUGCGGCAGAGGAGACUGGAAUUCCUGGUGUAGCAGGGAAAUGCGCAGAUAUCAGGAGGAACACCGGUGGCGAAGGCGGGUCUCUGGGCAACAACUGACGCUGAGGAGCGAAAGCGUGGGGAGCGAACAGG